rnacentral:rRNA from 1 species
UACGUAGGGCGCAAGCGUUAUCCGGAAUUAUUGGGCGUAAAGAGCUCGUAGGCGGUUUGUUGCGUCUAUCGUGAAAACCUGCGGCUUAACUGUGGGCUUGCGGUGGAUACGGGCAGACUUGAGUUCGGUAGGGGAGACUGGAAUUCCUGGUGUAGCGGUGAAAUGCGCAGAUAUCAGGAGGAACACCGGUGGCGAAGGCGGGUCUCUGGGCCGAUACUGACGCUGAGGAGCGAAAGCGUGGGGAGCGAACAGG